CCCAGCUCCCAUUGUCCCAAUGACAAUGUGUUGAACCUCCAACUCCAUCGGACCAGAUGGAGACAAUUACCAUCGACCCCACAGAGCUGGAGUGCAAAUAAUGAGUUAGCAACUGAACAAAGCCUGAAGCUCCAGAGGAGAGUGGUGGUGGUGAUGGUGUUGGGUGGGGAUGUCCCUGGGGUGGGGACGCAGCUGGAUGGGAUGGCGGUGGUGGCGUCGUGCGAGACAGCGGAGGGGGAUGGAGGGCCCCAAAGCUGUCAGGCUGCCAGACAGGGCUCAGAGUUCUGCUCGUCAGGCAGGCGUUCAGCAAAUGUUUGUUGAUUUAUAGAUAGAGUCAUUGGCUUAGGAGUCAUUUUAUUCAAGCACAUUUUGUCCACCAUAUGAAACUCAACAGGCUCAGCGACGUAUAAUAUCAUGAGUCCAAGCUGCAUUAAAAUAAACGCAGAGCCAAGGGCCAGAUUUUCCUGCAAGGUUUCCUAUGAUUACUUCACCUAAAAUCUGGUUUCAAAUAUGGAGAUUUCGAAUAUUGUGCCUUCUCUUCUUUUUCUUUCUGCCUAGUAGGACCUCGGCGUGUCGCACGAACCCUCCUGCGCAGACUUUCCGGCCUGAGCGCGUACAGCAGAACCAGUGGGAGAAAGCAAAUCCUUGAAGAAGAGACUCCCUGACUUAAAAAGGAAGGCUGUCCUGGUGUCCGUCACCGGAACAUCCCUUAAGACAACAGCGGCCAGUGACCUAGAGCCACUACACUGGCAGGUGCCUGGGGUGGACACAUCCCACGGGCACACAUAUUCCUGGCAGGUGUCCCUGCACAUUGACCCAACCCUUUGGGAAAACCAUUCCCAUUUCCUCUGUCCCAGGAGCCUUAGUCCACUAGAGAUUCGUGAUCUCACUCCCGGGAAACGUUCCUUUGGAAACAACAUCUUUAAAAGCAAGUGAUAUAUUCACAAAGACGCCUGGGGCAGUUGUCAUCGGGGCAGUACGGCUCACGGAGAUCUGAUUCCCAUGGACUAAAGUCCUCGGUUCCCAACAGAACUGCCAAGACUUCGGAUUUGAAGGACACCGGCGUCCUCAUAGUCACCUUAGCCCUUGGUCCUUGCUUCUGGGCAUGCUGUCCUCACUAACACCACGUCCACUCUGAAAGGAAACGCGGGGUCUUCCUUGCUGACACACGCAUGUGGACACCCCUACAGACACACGCAUGUGUCUUUCCAAGCACCCGAGAGUGAGUGUCACGGCAAUUAGAGAAGACUGGCAUGGCUUGGGGGAGGAAGCCCUGUGGCCGCAUCAUCAACUUUGAAUUGACAACGGGGCAUCCUGCUUCGAAAAUAUUCUUUGGCCACUGAAGAAUCUCCACUCGACUCUUUUCUUGUGUUUUUGUCCUUUCCCAUCUGGCUUCCUCAGCCAGGAUUAUACCUCCUCCCUGGUCCGGAACCGUCCCCCAUCGCUCCAGGACUCACUCCCCUCCUGCAGUGGGAUCUGCCCC
rnacentral:lncRNA from 12 species